ACAAGCAGUCAUUCCAGUACAAGACAUGGACAUUUGUGGUCUCGCCUCCCUUCAAGUACUUCAUCAUGGCCAUGAUCGCCCUCAACACAGUGGUGCUAAUGAUGAAGUUCUAUGACGCACCAUAUGAAUAUGAGCUAAUGUUGAAAUGCCUGAACAUUGUGUUCACAUCCAUGUUCUCCAUGGAAUGCGUGCUGAAGAUCAUCGCUUUUGGGGUGCUGAACUAUUUCAGAGAUGCCUGG